GACGAACGCUGGCGGCGUGCUUAACACAUGCAAGUCGAACGGAAAGGCCCCUUUGGGGGUACUCGAGUGGCGAACGGGUGAGUAACACGUGAGUAACCUGCCCUUGCCUUCGUGAUAACUUCAGGAAACUGGGGCUAAUACCUGAUAGGAAUCCUUGCUGCUUGGGGGGGGUGGGGAAACGUCGGCGGGUUUGGGUGGAGUCGGGGGGUAAUAGGUUGUUUGUGGGGGAGGUGCUUACCAAGGCUGUGAAGGGUAGCCGGCCUGAGAGGGUGACCGGCCACAUUGGGACUGAGGAAAGGCCCAGACCCCUACGGGAGGCAACAGUGGGGAAUCUUGACCCAUGGGCGGAAGCCUGAUGCAGCAACGCCGCGGGCGGGAUGACGGGCUUCGGGUUGGAAACCGCUUUCAGCAGGGGAGAAGCCUGUGGUGACGGUACCUGCAGAAGAAGCACCGGCUAACUACGUG
rnacentral:rRNA from 1 species